UAAUAAAUUUUUCGUAAUAUUUUCUUUGAUUUGCGACAAUCGCCAUAAUAUUCGCAGUUCGGUAGCGAAUGUCAACAUGUCCAGAUCAUUUUCCGUAGAAAACCCCGAGAGGGUUGUUUUGUAAAAUCUACCAACUGUGAACAUUAUCGAAGCAUUGCAGAAGCCCAGGGACAGUUAUGACAAAUUAAAUCAUAGUUAUUUAUGCCCGGGAAAUUCCGAUCAGCCAAAAGGGAAGCUUGAACUUGAAGGUCACAAACAUGUGCAAGAUUGCAGAUCCACGUUGCCUCGUCUGAAGUCAUGUCGUGUGCAGUGAGCAUGAGAAAAUCAACCCUACUUUACCCUAGACUAGAAAAAAGACUGGAGGUCAGAAUGCAGGAUGAUUGAGCAAGGAGUGCUGGCAGAUGGACUAUUGAGGUCAACAAAAAAUUUGGACUUUCAUCGGGU